rnacentral:rRNA from 1 species
CCCUUAGAUGUUCUGGGCCGCACGCGCGCUACACUGAUGCAUUCAACGAGCCUAUCCUUGACCGACAGGUCCGGGUAAUCUUUGAAUCUGCAUCGUGACGGGGAUAGAUUAUUGCAAUUAUUAAUCUUCAACGAGGAAUGCCUAGUAGGCGCAAGUCAUCAGCUUGCGUCGAUUACGUCCCUGCCCUUUGUACACACCGCCCGUCGCUCCUACCGAAUGGGUGUGCUGGUGAAAUGUUCGGAUCGGCCGUUUGUCGCGGUUUCCGCGUCAUGUGGCUGAGAAGUUCAUUAAACCCUCCCACCUAGAGGAAGGAGAAGUCGUAACA